AAGUAGUAAUGUUAAAUAAAACCCUUAUAUUUUGGCGGCAUUUAAUCUUAUUAGAGGAACUUGUUUAAUAAUCGAUUUUACCCGUUAAAUUUCACUAUUAUAACAAAUUUAUAUACCUCCAUUUUAAGAACUUUUUUAAAAAUAUAAUCUCAAUAAUCAAUAAAAAAUUAGGUCAAGGUGUAAUUAACAUUUUAGAAAUAAAUGAGUUACAUUAAAAAUUAUUUAAGGAAAACUAAUUAUAAUAAAUUCAAAAAAGGAUUUAAAAGUAAUAUUUAAUUAAUAAUUCAAAAUAAACUAGAAAAUAUCUGUGU
rnacentral:rRNA from 1 species